rnacentral:tRNA from 1 species
UCAGCGGUAGUUCAGUUGGUUAGAAUACCGGCCUGUCACGCCGGGGGUCGCGGGUUCGAGCCCCGUCCGCUGCGCCA